rnacentral:rRNA from 1 species
CGUUCCCGGGUCUUGUACACACCGCCCGUCACACCAUGGAAGUUGGUUGCACCAGAAGUCGGUCGCUUAACCGUAAGGGGGGCGUUUACCACGGUGUGGUUCAUGACUGGGGUG